GAGAUCUGAUAUUUCACCAGACAAGUGCACUUACUGACAUCCACUUCACUGUCAGUCCAAAGCCUCUACAUUAAUGGGUGCACAGUAGCAGUUGCAGUUAGAUUGGAGUUACCGAAACAUCCACACUUUGGACAUUUCUGCCAUUAUCCAUGCUGCAGAUGAAGCCCUCAUCCCAGAAUGCAUUGAGGAGACAAUGCCCAUGAUAGACCAGGGGACAUCAGGAUCGUCAAUGAGGGCCAGAUAAUCUUACAGUUAUUUGGAUAACUUGGCAUUAGCU